rnacentral:lncRNA from 1 species
GUGGGCAGCACCAUCAGAUUCUCCUCCUGCUCACCAAGAACUUGUGGUACUUUGCUGCCAAGAUCUCUGGCCUGGAGGGAAGGAACCUACUCCUUUCAGUCUCUGGAGCGUCAAGCUCUCUAACAUCCCUUGGGGGAGGCGCACUCGUGAGGGCAGAGAACGUCCCACUGAAGCCACUGAUGUGGAUGAAGAUACAGGCUGAAUGUGCUGGGAGACCAACCCUUCUGGAUAAGAUUAGAGUUACCAGAACUAAUAAUCAGCUUCAUUGUCCACCAAACUGCUCUCACAAACACAGGUAUUGUAACUGUGUUACAGUGUUAAAAAGCAUCAAUACUUCUCUUUAAAGCCCACUCUGUUCCCAGCAGGCUUGGAUGCAUUCAUUGUGGAGGAGUUCACUGGAGAACAGUUACAAGUCAACCUUUAGUUCCCAGCGGGGUCAUGCUGAGCUGGACCGUGGAACAUGACCAGAGGCUGGCCAUUCUACACGGUCAUUUAACUUCUCCCAGUAACUCAUUAACUAUUUGUAUUCCUGCAGUGACGAUCGCGUGCCUGUGCGUAGACUCUCCCAAAUGUGUUUGAAGGGUUUUUCUGUGUAACCCUGGCUGGCUGUCCUGGAACCUGUUCUGUUGACCAGGCUGGCCUCAGAUUUGCAGAAAUCCACCUGCCUUUGCUUCCUAAGUGUUGGGCAUCAACUGUGUGUGCCACCACUACCUGGUGACAAAAUUAUUUUUUAAAGACAUUUCAAGGCCUAUGGAUAUACAUCAGUUGACACAGGAAUUUCUUUACUGAUGGACCCAGGCUACCUCGGUAAUGUUUAAAGACCUCCAAAUCAAGUUGGCCUUUCUCUUUCUACUUCCCCUAAAGGGCAUGGUGUGCAUGUCAGAGAUCAAGAUGGAGAACUCUCAGCUCCUCUAGCACCACAUCUUCCUGCACGCCGCCAUGCUUCCUGCCAUGAUGAUAAUGGACUGAACCUCGGAAACUAGACAAGAGGAGGCUAUGGCUGGAGUACAUUGGAUGCUCCUGGGUGUGACUAUUACUGAUCAGAACCUUGGAGACCCCUUGCCACAGAAAAGAGUGAUGUCUUACCUCAGGGGGACAAAGAGACAGACUUUGACAUCUUCUAAGUGUCACUUCCACCUCCAGACCUUGUUUUAAGCCGCCCAGGAAGGUUUAAGGUAGUUACUUAAUCACGUUUGUGACUGGGCUCUGUUUCUGUAGGUGAAAAAUGGUUUUCAGUAGUAACCAUGAGGAAGAAUCAGUCAUCAUAAUGGCCAAGAAGAAACACCGUGGAAAAUGGUCUUGUAUUGAACCUCUAUACAAUCAUGCUAGCAGGAUAUAAAAGAAAAUAAAAGGGUUUCUGUGACUCCUGCCACUGCCGUGUGACUAUGAAAGCCACCGUGCUGCUCCUCUCUUGGGCCGAGUAGGUCCUGGGCAGGGUGGCGAGAAUGCUGUGAAAUGGAAGGAAGGAAGAAGAGGGAGAAAGAGAAAAUGCAAGCCAUCUCAGGACAGGGUAGACAGAGCACCUACCCAGCCUGUCAGGGUUUGGUUUUAAUCCCCAUCUCUGCGAAAAACAACCAACACAUUAAAAAUAAUUAUUAUGGUGU